CUUUCCCUGAAGAGACGAAGUGAUCAAGAGAUUGAAGACGAGUGAACUAACGACUCCUCCUUCUCUCACAAGUCGAAACUCAGAGUCGGAAAG
rnacentral:hammerhead_ribozyme from 16 species